UACGUAGGGCGCAAGCGUUGUCCGGAAUUAUUGGGCGUAAAGAGCUCGUAGGCGGCCUGUCACGUCGGCUGUGAAAACCCGGGGCUCAACCCCGGGCCUGCAGUCGAUACGGGCAGACUAGAGUGCGGUAGGGGAGACUGGAAUUCCUGGUGUAGCGGUGAAAUGCGCAGAUAUCAGGAGGAACACCGGUGGCGAAGGCGGGUCUCUGGGCCGAUACUGACGCUGAGGAGCGAAAGCGUGGGGAGCGAACAGG
rnacentral:rRNA from 1 species